AUGAAGAACCCAUUUCGUUUUGAAUUCCUGACCCUUUCUCCUGGUCGCUCUGCUAAAUUCAAGUCCCGCAGGAAGAUAACAGAGUUGGGAGGAGGAGACCAAAGAUGGUUAAACCAGGGGAACAGGAUCUGCGGAUGGUGCAAGAAGAGGGCUGAGGGCCACUCACCGCUCCUCCCCUGCAGUCCACUGCCCGGUAUUCCUGCCUCUCAGCUCGGCGGACGGUCCGGCUUCCACCACCGGGGCUCUUCAGGCAGGCGGCCCGAGUUCCCUCAGUCUCCUCACUUGGAUAUCAGGGGACCGGAUACAAAGAGCUCUGUGAUGCCUUUUGACUUCCCUGUACAGUCAAGGACAGCUGCAAGGUGGAGAUCUUCCAAAGGUCACCAAGAGCACCAAGCCUUCUAGCCCCAGUGCCAGGGGUUGACCUCAAAAGGAAUUCCAGUUCUUUCACCCAGCUCACACCAUAGCCCUCUGAAAAGGUUACACAGUGUCUCCUCGAAGUCCCGUCAGUGGAAAUUCGAGUGGAUUGUUAUUGCUUUCUUCUUCCAAGGCCCAUUCCCUCCUCCCCUAAUAAUGGAACCCUAGUUUUCCUUUAAGGAGUUGUCCUUUCUCUGUUGCCAGUCCUUGAGGGUUGAGCUCCAGGGACAGGCUCAUGAAAAGCUGGGCAAAAAGCCUAUUUUCCACCUCAGUGGUUGACUGAUGAUGGGAUAAAGGACAAAGGCAGACUCAAAUCAAGACGUUGGCCAGAGAUGCUGGAGGCCUUUGGCUUCUUUAUGGAAUGAAGUCUCACAGAAGAAAUCAGAGCUGGGAGCUGAAGAGGAGACAAUUGUUGAGAACAACAUUUGAGCCCCUAGAUCCAGUCAUGCCUGAAAGCCUAUACGUGGACUUUCAAUUACCUGAGCAAAUAAAUCCAUUCCCACUUUUUUGUUGUUGAAGGGAAUUUGAAUUGAAUUAGGUGUCAAUAAUAAAGUGUUCUUUGAACUUUCUGCUUUUCUCAUUCAUGCAUGCCUGUCAAUGUUGCCAAAUCUGAGUUAUUUCUGAUUAAAAGAAGAGGAAGGGGAGGAAGAGGGGGAGGAAGUAGCAGAACAAGAGAAAGAGAGAGAAGGAUAAGAAGUAGAAGUUGUUAAAUCUAAAAGCUGCAUAAAAGGCAAGGUCUAAUGCACUGUUGGUAAUUAUAUAUAGCACUGUUGUUACCACUUCCUGCCCUGUACCCAUCAAAAAUAUCACUCAUUUAUAAGAAUUCUUCUCAAUGCAGAAUUCUUGGCACCCACUGCUAAUCACCUGCAGUUGACUCCAGCCUGAAAUCUAUUUCCAACAAAGCUAAGACGUCUACUGAUUCAAUGGACAUGAACUUGGGCGAACUCUGGGAGAUGGUGAGGGACAGGGAGGUCUGGAGUGCUGCAGUCCAUGGGGUCGUGAAGAGUCAGACACGAUGUAGCUACUGAACAACAAUUAAGACCCCUACAGCACUACACUGUGACUGAUGCCAGUCCCAGGACUGGGAGAUGGUUUAAACCAAAGCAGAGCAUUAACCACCAUGGCCAGUCUGGAGGACACGUUGAUCCCAAAGACAGAAGCAACUCUGCCAUACUGGCAAAAUCAAAUAGUGCUAAUAAGUAGCCCCGAGCCACUGCUAGGGGCUUAACCCACAGGGCUAGGCGGCCUCACAUGGCAGCCUCAGGGUGGAGGUGGGGGACUCAGUCCUGGCCCACGCCCAGUGUCAACACUGGCCACAACGUGACGACCCUGUAUGCCCACUGGCAACUCGGGGCUCCCACGGCUGCCAAUUCUGAGCAGGUGACAUCUUCUUGGGCAUCAACCUCUGACGACAAUAAGUGCUGGUUCUAAGCUGGAGCAUUUCUAAUCCUCAAGCUGACGGAUGCUUUUCUGCCUCCCUCAGAACUCAAAAUCAACCUGACGUUUCUCAAAUCACAUCUUGAAGGCAAAUGAGUCUGUAACGUGCACCAAAGCCUAAGCCAGCCAGGGAAAGGAGGAGAAAAUAGAAACAUCCUGGCUCCCUCCCCUAAAUGUGAAUAUUCUUUCUAUAUUGGUGGGGGCAGGGGGAGAGGGGAGGGGAACAUCUCCAAGGGAUGGGAAUUUCCCAAGAACCAGGUGCUCUCUGGUGUCCCUGAGGGUUCAGAGCAGCCUCACGACACAGGAUGAAAAUUAAGGAGAAGCAAGACUGGCGAUGAAGAGGUGAGGCGCCUUGACUUCCCG
ensembl:lncRNA